AUUGAACGCUGGCGGCAGGCUUAACACAUGCAAGUCGAGCGGAGAGAGGUAGCUUGCUACUGAUCUUAGCGGCGGACGGGUGAGUAAUGCUUAGGAAUCUGCCUAUUAGUGGGGGACAACAUUUCGAAAGGAAUGCUAAUACCGCAUACGUCCUACGGGAGAAAGCAGGGGAUCUUCGGACCUCGCGCUAAUAGAUGAGCCUAAGUCGGAUUAGCUAGUUGGGGGGGUAAAGGCCUACCAAGGCGACGAUCUGUAGCGGGUCUGAGCGGAUGGGCCGCCACACUGGGACUGAGACACGGCCCAGACUCCUACGGGAGGCAGCAGUGGGGAAUAUUGGACAAUGGGCGGAAGCCUGAUCCAGCCAUGCCGCGUGUGUGAAGAAGGCCUUAUGGUUGCAAAGCACUUUAAGCGAGGAGGAGGCUACUUUAGUUAAUACCUAGAGAUAGUGGACGUUACUCGCAGAAUAAGCACCGGCUAACUCUGUGCCAGCCGCCGCAGUAA
rnacentral:rRNA from 1 species